ACAGCAAUGGCAAGAAACAGAAGCUAUAGACGCAGCGCCUGGGAGAUGAACAGGAUUUGGGGAGCCGUACCUCACGUCAGAGAGGCCCUGGAAGGAAAGAACGUACGAGGCGACCUGAGUGGCCUUUCCAAGCAUCCUUGUGGUUCCGUGGUCCCAGGAGACCGGGGGCUCUCCCAAGUGCACCCAGAUGCGUGCCCCUAAUGGAACCGUGAGAUGAAUGGAAAAUUAAGAAGAUGGAGAUUAAGAGGAUUAUGAA